GAUGAACGCUAGCGGCAGGCCUAACACAUGCAAGUCGAGGGGUAGAAGUUGCUUGCAACUUUGAGACCGGCGCACGGGUGCGUAACGCGUAUGCAAUCUACCUUGUACAGGGGGAUAGCCCAGAGAAAUUUGGAUUAAUACCCCAUAGUGUAAUGAAAUCGCAUGGUUUUAUUACUAAAGUUCCAACGGUACAAGAUGAGCAUGCGUCCUAUUGGCUAGUUGGUGUGGUAACGGCACACCAAGGCAACGAUAGGUAGGGGUCCUGAGAGGGAGAUCCCCCACACUGGUACUGAGACACGGACCAGACUCCUACGGGAGGCAGCAGUGAGGAAUAUUGGUCAAUGGGCGCAAGCCUGAACCAGCCAUGCCGCGUGCAGGAAGACGGUCCUAUGGAUUGUAAACUGCUUUUGUACGGGAAGAAACACUCCUGCGUGUAGGAGCUUGACGGUACCGUAAGAAUAAGGAUCGGCUAACUCCGUGCCAGCAGCCGCGGUAA
rnacentral:rRNA from 1 species